UCUGGAAUAGCUCAGUCAGUAGAGCAUAAGACUCUUAAUCUCAGGCUUGUGGGUUCAAAUCCCAUGUAGGGCAAAA